ACGCAACGCGAAGAACCUUACCUACUCUUGACAUCCAGAGAAUUUGCUAGAGAUAGCUUAGUGCCUUCGGGAACUCUGAGACAGGUGCUGCAUGGCUGUCGUCAGCUCGUGUUGUGAAAUGUUGGGUUAAGUCCCGCAACGAGCGCAACCCUUAUCCUUUGUUGCCAGCGAGUAAUGUCGGGAACUCAAAGGAGACUGCCGGUGAUAAACCGGAGGAAGGUGGGAUGACGUCAAGUCAUCAUGGCCCUUACGAGUAGGGCUACACACGUGCUACAAUGGCAUAUACAAAGAGAAGCGAACUCGCGAGAGCAAGCGGACCUCAUAAAGUAUGUCGUAGUCCGGAUUGGAGUCUGCAACUCGACUCCAUGAAGUCGGAAUCGCUAGUAAUCGUAGAUCAGAAUGCUACGGUGAAUACGUUCCCGGGCCUU
rnacentral:rRNA from 1 species